UGAAAGAAUCCUUUGAAUGUACCCCAUAAAGGAGAAUUUGCCACGCUGCUGUUCUGGCUGCAGCCUCCACGUGUUUGAAGAGUUUGACCCUGUGCUGGGUUUGUCAGCGGUCCAGGCUGCAUAAUGCAUAAAUGUAGCAGCGCCAGGAGCCGAUGACAUGUUUGUGGAUUUAAUGGGAAUUGCAAAACCCUGAAACGUCCUUUUCCAGAAAGGAGACUAACACAGGCAGAUUGGAGCUUACUCUGGUUGGAGCCUUGUAGUCCUGCAGUGGAGCCUGAGCUGAGACUUACUUUUUAUAAUAAGUGUGGUGAGGCACUGGCACCGGCUGCCCAGAGAGGAGGUGGUGCCCCAUCCCUGGAGACAGCCAAGGUCAGGCUGGAUGGGCUCUGAGCACCUGGUGGAGCUGUGGGUGUCCCUGUGCAUUGCUGGGGAGUUGGACCAGGUGGCCUUUAAGGGUCUCUUCCAGCUCGAAUGAUUCUAUGAUCUCUGCUCUCUAAGAUCACUUUCUCCAUUCGGAUUCGGUAUCGCGCUGUGCUCAGCUCCAGUUUGUCCUCCAGCACCUCAAGGUACCAACCAUGAAGGAAUUGGAAUUACACCGCUGACUUUCUCAGACUCUUAGCUGUCUGAAAAUACUCGGAAACACUCCCACUGCAGCAGGAGUUAAUGUGCGUCCAGGCCCCUGGGACUGCUGCUUUAACAGCAUUCCCAUCCUCACAAGGGCUUGAAAAGCUCGAGCUUUAUGGGCAGCUGCCAAGUGCAGGACAAUAAAUUGGCACUGACAAACAAGGGCAAAAGAGGCUCUAAGUUCUCAGUGCAGUAUUUCAACAGAGAAGAAGGGACUGAAGCACGGGAAGUGUGUCCCCAUGGGUGCUGCAGAAGACAGAACUGUGUGCAAAUGGAGGCACUCGUGGUUGCUCUUUGGCUGGCUGCCUAUUAUGAAGUCACCCCGAGCCGCCUGUACAUUCUUUGGAUGUGA
rnacentral:lncRNA from 1 species